GGCCUAUUAGCUCAGUUGGUUAGAGCGUCGUGCUAAUAACGCGAAGGUCACAGGUUCGAGACCGGUAUAGGCCA
rnacentral:tRNA from 1 species